AGAAGGGGGAUCAGAGAGCAGACAGAACCACACAUAUGGCUUUUAACCGACUGUAUCUUUCUUCCUGACAGCGAAAGGAAGAAGAGGGAGCUUGAGAACAUGGGUAACAGAGACAGCGAUGUACAGCAGCGGAACUUCGAGGCAGCCGCAAGCUAAUGAAAGAGGGCCCUAGAAUCUGGAAAAAACCAAGGCACAGAUGUUCUCUUAGAGCUUCCUGGUUACACAUGGGCCAAGCCACACUGUGAUUUGGUCCCAGAGAUAUUGAUCUCAAAAUCCUUGUUCCCAGAACUGGGAAAGAAUAAUCUUCCAUUGCAUAGAAAUCAUUAGUCAGUGGUCAUUUGUUACAGCAGCCCCAGGAGGCUAAUUUGCCUUGAUAAUUUACCCUAGAGGCCCCAAUUGAUCCGUUGCCAUUGAAGGGCAAACACUUUGCUGCAGACAUGUCCAGAGAAAGUUUGGAGGUGUGUUGGAGGGUUCUUUUUGGCAUCUGUCCAUCUGUUGGAGACAAAGUUUCUCAUUGGCUGGAAACCUCACCACAAAGUCUCAUAGAUCUUGAAGUGCUCAUGCAGUCAAGCAAGAAGAAGAAGAAGAAGAAGAAGAAGAAGAAGAAGAAGAAGAAGAAGAAGAAGAAGAAGAAGAAGAAGAAGAAGAAGAAGAAGAAGAAGAAGACCCAAUGGGCGUGAGGUCUGAUUUUCAACAUGAAAACCCAAAGCAUUCUUUAAUAACUUUUUUUGAUCACUGUGUAAAUAGUUCAGACGAACUCUUUUUUGAAAGGGCAAUGUUGUGCACAGUUGUUUUUAUUUGAUUAAGCUUCAGGACUAAUUUGUAAAGUGCUGUGGGAUAGACUUGUCAAACUCAAGCCAAGCAAAGAUCAUUCAGUCUCCACCCUCUCUCACAUUACUCUGAAAGAACAUGUUUUUAGAACACAGUCACUCCCCUCUCCCCUUUCCUUCAACUCUGAUGUAUUGUGGCAUAUCAGAGAAUUAAGCAGCAUAGGGAUGGGUAAAAGGAUCACAGGGACAACAAACACAUCCAAGUUUAUGGAGCUAAGUUUCACCAGUUCAUCUCAACCCAAUCUUUUGAUACUGAAACUAGAAAGAGACUUUUUAGAGCAGGGGUGGUUAGAUGGUAGAAUGCCUGCCUAACUAACAUGCUAGAGGCCCCGAGUUCCCACCUCAGGGUUAAAAACACAUUUCACAGUCAAAAAGAAAGAGACGGUUGUGAAACAAGGCAAAUUUCACUCUUGAUCAAUAGGUUGUGCUCAGAGGAAUGAACACACAGAGACAGGAAGUACACUUGGUUUUAUUCUAACACAGGUGGUAUCUGUGUCAUUUCCUCCUUGGCUGAGGUCUGACCUCGGAGUCUUAUUUGAUUGGCUAGUCUGAAAAGAAUUUGUGCAGAGGAAAUGAAAGAGGGAGGGGGAAAGGGCUGUUGUUCUAAAGGGAAAAGGGUCACUGCUUCAGGCCACCAAAUUCCUGGAAUGUAGCUGGGAGCUUUCAUAUGAACAAAGAUUUUGCUGGACAGGAGGGGGAUUAAAACUUUUACAUAAAAGUCAUACAAGGUACAGAAGAUUUAUAUAUAUAUAUAUUUGAAUUCCUUGUCUUAAAACACAAACUUUAUACUAUUUGAUUAGAAAAGGCUCAUACCUAGUAUUUCUUAUACUAGCACCAUCAAAACAAACUGAACAUCCAAAUAUCAAAUGGAGUGCUUGUUACACCCAAGUGAGAUGCUAUUAGAAGUCGAAGCUGAUUGUACAGAGAUUCAGUGAGCUCAGAAGAAACAGAGCUAUAUAUAGAAGCAUGACUCUCCUGUUAUUUCUGAAGGCUGCAUUUACACAGUAAGGAUGCAGAUAAUGCAAUUAGUCAUGGCAUUGAUGGGCUGUCUACCGGUUUCCAGAUCCCUUGUUGGGUACUGGGUAUUUAGCACCUCAUGAAACUUCCAAAUUUGUAGGGGGUAGAAAGCUGAGGCUUUAAGUAAAAAGCUGAAAAGAUAGAUAUGGAAGUCACCAGGCAAAGUGAUGAGGGGUUUGCAAUGGAUUAACAGCCUGGUUGGCAGAGUGCUUGCUUGGCAUGUGUGAAUCCCUGGGUUUGAUCCCUAUGACAGCAUCAAACUGCAUGUGGUGCUGUAUAUUAGCCCUUGGGAACAGGGAAGAGGAUUAGAAGUUCAUGGCUGAUGUUGGUUAUAUAUGGAACUUGAAGCCAGCCUGAGAUUCCUGAGACCUGACAAUGAAUGAAUACAUCAAUAAAUUAAUAAAUAAGAAAGAUACAUGAAGCAAUAAUACAGUUCUUGGGAGACUGAGUGAAAAUAACAAGUUCCAGGCCAGCCUGGGCUACAUAGGGAAAUCAUGUC
ensembl:lincRNA Gm15232 predicted gene 15232